AGCAGCCGCGGUAAUUCCAGCUCCAAUAGCGUAUAUUAAAGUUGUUGCAGUUAAAAAGCUCGUAGUUGAAUUUCGGGAUCAAUAUGUCGGUCGUGCCUUCGGUACGUACUGGUAUCAUUGGUCUCUCCUUUCUGACGAACCAUGAUGUCAUUAAUUUGGUGUUAUGGGGAGUUAGGACUGUUACUUUGAAAAAAAUUAGAGUGUUUAAAGCAGGCUUUAGCUUGAAUACAUUAGCAUGGAAUAAUGAAAUAGGACGUUCGAACCUAUUUUGUUGGUUUCUAGGAUCAACGUAAUGAUUAAUAGGGAUAGUUGGGGGCAUUAGUAUUCAAUUGUCAGAGGUGAAAUUCUUGGAUUUAUUGAAGACUAACUACUGCGAAAGCAUUUGCCAAGGAUGUUUUCAUUAAUCUAAAGACGAAAGUUAGGGGGAUCGAAGACGAUCAGAUACCGUCGUAGUCUUAACCAUAAAACUAUGCCGACUAGGGAUCGGGAUGAUGUUAAUUUUUUAAUGACUCAUUCGGCG
rnacentral:rRNA from 1 species